rnacentral:rRNA from 1 species
UACAGAGGUCUCAAGCGUUGUUCGGAUUCAUUGGGCGUAAAGGGUGUGUAGGUGGCGCGCUAAGUCGGGUGUGAAAUUUCGGAGCUUAACUCCGAAACUGCAUUCGAUACUGGCGUGCUUGAGGACUGGAGAGGAGACUGGAAUUCACGGUGUAGCAGUGAAAUGCGUAGAUAUCGUGAGGAAGACCAGUGGCGAAGGCGAAUCUCUGGACAGUUCCUGACGCUCAUGCACGAAGGCCAGGGGAGCAAACGGG